GACGAACGCUGGCGGCGUGCUUAACACAUGCAAGUCGAACGGUAAGGCCCUUCGGGGUACACGAGUGGCGAACGGGUGAGUAACACGUGGGUGAUCUGCCCCUUUGAUCGGGACAACCCGGGGAAACCCGGGCUAAUACCGAAUGAGGUGGCGACUCAUGAGAGUCGUCACGAAAGGAAGCUUCGGCCUCCGCGAAGGGAUGAGCCCGCGGCCCAUUAGCUUGUUGGUGGGGUAAUGGCCUACCAAGGCAACGAUGGGUAGCUGGUCUGAGAGGACGUUCAGCCACACUGGGACUGAGACACGGCCCAGACUCCUACGGGAGGCUGCAGUGGGGAAUCUUGCGCAAUGAGCGACAGCUUGACUCAGCAACGCCGCGUGAGGGAAGAAGGCUUUCGGGUCGUAAACCUCUUUCAGUUAGGACGAAGCUUUAUUGGUUAAUAACCAAUUGGAGUGACGGUACUUUCAGAAGAAGCCCCGGCUAACUACGUGCCAGCAGCCGCCGUAA
rnacentral:rRNA from 1 species